AUCUAAUCCGUGAUUGUCCCCGAGCACCCCUCCUCUUCCUCUUCACCAGAGACCGACAUCCAUCACUAGGAGUCUAUGAAGAGUCGAAAGGGACUCUCCCGGAAUCACCUUGCAGUCCUUGCACAUACCCCUAUCGCUCCUUCUGAGGAGGAGUUAAUCAAUCUGAGUCCUCGCCGCCGAACUCUUGAAGGUGACCAAAUGCUAUAGUCCUUGCACAUACCCCUAUCGCUUCUUCUGAGGAUGAGGUAAUCAAUCUGUGUCCUCGCCGCCGAACUCUUGAAGGUGACCAAAUGCUCCUCCCUCUUCUGAAAUGUCGAGUUCGCAAUCAGAAGCUCGGAAGCCCUGGCGAAAUCAAGNNN
rnacentral:lncRNA from 1 species